rnacentral:rRNA from 1 species
AUUGAACGCUGGCGGCAGGCUUAACACAUGCAAGUCGAGCGGGGUGAUGGUGCUUGCACUAUCACUUAGCGGCGGACGGGUGAGUAAUGCUUAGGAAUCUGCCUAUUAGUGGGGGACAACAUCUCGAAAGGGAUGCUAAUACCGCAUACGUCCUACGGGAGAAAGCAGGGGAUCGCUUGUGACCUUGCGCUAAUAGAUGAGCCUAAGUCGGAUUAGCUAGUUGGUGGGGUAAAGGCCUACCAAGGCGACGAUCUGUAGCGGGUCUGAGAGGAUGAUCCGCCACACUGGGACUGAGACACGGCCCAGAAUCCUACGGGAGGCAGCAGUGGGGAAUAUUGGACAAUGGGGGGAACCCUGAUCCAGCCAUGCCGCGUGUGUGAAGAAGGCCUUAUGGUUGUAAAGCACUUUAAGCGAGGAGGAGGCUCUUUUGGUUAAUACCCAAGAUGAGUGGACGUUACUCGCAGAAUAAGCACCGGCGAACUCUGUGCCAGCCGCCGCGGUAA